UACAAAUCACACAGAUCGACAUUCAAUUGAACAAGGUACCUUGAAUAACCAAAGAGAUGCAGCUUCAAAUCAAUUCCAUGUUGAUGUACAAGAUCAUAUCCCACAUGUUGAAAAUAAUUCUUUAGUUCCAGACCAAAAUGAUGAUAUGA